UACGGAGGGUGCAAGCGUUAUCCGGAUUCACUGGGUUAAAGGGUGCGUAGGCGGAUAUGUAAGUCCGUGGUGAAAUCUCUGGGCUUAACCCGGAAACUGCCAUGGAUACUAUGUGAUCUUGAAUGUUGUUGAGGUGAGCGGAAUAUGUCAUGUAGCGGUGAAAUGCGUUAGAUAUGACAUAGAACACCAAUUGCGAAGGCAGCUCACUAAGCAAAUAUUGACGCUGAGGCACGAAAGCGUGGGGAUCAAACAGG
rnacentral:rRNA from 1 species